UCCCUCGUCAUUGGGAGUUUUUUUUUAAUGUGGCUGUGCUUGUAAUCAAUCAGAUUGUACCAAGAAAUGAUGAAACUUAAGCGUUGAUUAUAAUCUCAGGGCCAUAACACAGACGUGCAGUCAGUGUGCUGGGACAACACUGGGGAGUACCUUGCGUCUGUCAGCCAGGAUCUAGUUAAGGUGUGGUCAGUAUCAUCAGGAGAGUGCAUUCAUGAGGUCAGCUCAAAUGGAAAUAAGUUCCAUUCUUGUGUGUUCCACCCAAGUUAUACCAAUCUCUUGGUGAUUGGAGGCUACCAGGUAGUACUUGCUCUUCAAUUGAGUUUUAAAUUUUAAUAUUCUGCAUUAGGAUUAUGUCCAAUUGUUUUGUGAAGUGUGCACCCUUGUACUCCGUCCGUCCCAAAAUUCUUGUCUUAGAUUUGUCUAGAUACGGAUGUAUCAAGUCACGUCUAGACAAAUCUAAGACAAGAAUUUUGGGACGGACGGAGUAUUAUUUUUGCCAAUGAACAUCUUUAGUCAUUUUUGUUCAUCUCGUCUGACAAGGAAUUACUUUAAUUAUAACAUAAGAUUGCUAGUAAUUUCCUACUCCCUUUGUAAACUAUUGCUCCCUCCGUCCGAAAAUACUUGUCCUAGAAAUGGUUGUAUCUAGACUUAUUUUAGUUAUAGAUACAUCAAUUUUAUCUAUUUCUAGGACAAGUAUUUUCGGACGGAGGGAGUAGUUUACAGAGGGAGUAUUUAGCCAUAUGCUACUCAAACUCUGAUGUGACUGUUUUGUGCUUUAUACUCACUAAAAAUUUAUCGUGGGCAUUUUUGUCGGUGCAGUCCUUGGAGCUAUGGAACAUGGUAAAGAACCAAAGCAUGACGGUGCCGGCUCACGAUGGUCUGAUUGCGUCGUUGGCACAAUCACCGGUAACCGGUAUGGUGGCUUCUGCGAGCCACGACAACUCCGUCAAGUUGUGGAAGUAACAAUAAUAAUAAUAAAGCCGAUGCGCCUAGAUAGUUUUUUCUUCUUCUCCAGAUAAAUUGAUAUUCCAUCAGUCGAGGCAUAGAAUGAGUUGUUGUCGAUUGUGUUGUACCUCCAUCAAGGCGAAUAAGGAAAGAGUAGCUUGGCUGGUUGCCCGCCGCGGCCGAGCUGUUUAGGGCUGGUUGCGGCGAGCCUGCGGAAGGAACUGUAUAUGUAUCUUGAUUGGUGGUGUGUGUGUAGCGCAAAGACAGGAAAGAAGAAAUGUAACAUUCCAGUGCUUAACUGGAAGAACUCGUUGCAAUUAGCCUCUGUCGGUUGGUUGUGAAAUCGUGGGUCUUGCGAGCGACAGAAUAUGGUAAGUUAGUUCUGAGUUGUUACUGCUGCUGUUCGUGUUUGAUCUUCUGCUUGAAAUUCGUUCGCUGCUGCUAGCAACUAUUGGUAUGCAAUGCUCCAGUUUGUCAGGUUUUGAAGUGUGCAAUCCGUCAGGUUUUGAGAUGUCAAGCUGAUAAUUUAAUCACUAUCUUAGUGUUCUUAUGUUACAGCUUCAGAAGGAAUUAUUUAUAAGUUUUUUUUCCAGAGGGAGUCGUCCUUUUUUUUCUUCUUUUUGCAGUGCCACAUGCAUACGCUGUUCUCGUGUUCAACAACUUUUUUUUUUGAAACAUUCAACAACUUUUUUGAGGUAUUCCACAACUUAAUUUUGAUUGUGUUCCAGUGGCUUACUUCAGCUUUUUUGUAACUCGUUACCAGUGAUGAACAUAUUGUUUCCCCCUCUCUUGAACAGAGAUAGAAUGAGAGAUCAAGAGCUGUUAUUACUUGUUUAGAUCCUAUACAAAUUGUCAACCUAGUGAUCUCCAUUUGGGUUGACAAUUUAGCUAGCUAAUUAUGUAUUGUAAUCACUAAUUUGUAUGUGAUGAAAAAUAUUUGUAUGAAAACUGCAUCCACAUAUGAAUCCAAUGAUAUGAUAUUUACGACACAUACCACAUAUUUAGUUAAUCAAAUUGAUGAUCUUACCACAUAUUUAGUUAAUCAAAUUGAUGAUCUUACCACAUAUUUAGUUAAUCAAAUUGAUGAUCUAAAACUACACGCCUGUCCUAUACCCCGAGACGGAGAAAGUUAUGUGAAGUCAUAAUCCCGCAGCACGCCAAAGGCAAACCAGCCAAAAUGUGGAGCAGCCGUCGGUGGUUAUAAGGGGAAAGCAGAAUUAUCCUUAAUUAAUUAACCAAGUCUUCUCGCUAACAACCAUCGGCCCGUCCCUCUCACUGGCUCACACCACACCAGCUCGCCCCGCCGGCUCCCUCUCCCCUCUUACCGGCUCCGUCCUUUCUUCUUCCUCCUCGCCGCCGGAGACCGGUCCUCCGGAUCCACCUCCGGUGCGUGGCCAGGGCGGGGCUCGUCGGCGUCCGUGGCCAGGGCGGGGCUCGUCGGCGUCCGUGGCUACUGCAACUAAUAUCCCUAGUAAUCAGACUUGAAAUCAACUUCUUUCUCAUGUACCCACAGUUCUCCGUUUCAAAAUAAGCGUCGUGGGACGGAAUAUUUGCUUGGCACUAUGUACCUAUGUUUAAUUUCUUAUUAUAUCCACAGAUACACCUGAAGUUCUUGAAAUGGCUGACAACAUGCGCCAUGUUCCAAAAGGUUCAAUGACAUAUGGUGAGGAUGGAACUGGUGGACUGGCAUCCUCUUCAAAUCAAACGGUAGCUCACUCUCACGCUUUGCCCGAUGUAACUUACGGCCAUUAUACGUCGGAAAGAUAUGUAAGGUGAUUGUCGUGUCUACCAGGAUGAUCUCGAAGACGAAAAGGGCGUUUUUACUCAACUUAAAAUAAACCCGUCAGAGCCUGAUCCGGCGGCUUCAAAGGGUAGUAGUAGUGUUUCUGAUGUUUUCCAGUAUUUUGCCAACACCAUCGUGUGCAUAUGUAACCUGCCCUUUUUCGCUUAGGUUUCACCUUCAGCCAGGUUAACUGCUGGCGACCAGGAAGCAGCGGGAAGUUAGUCUGCUGCAACUUCUCUUCCGACGGCAGGAUCUUGGCAAGUGCUGGACAUGAAAACAAGGUGCGAGUAAGAUUAACCUUUUUCUCUUGAGAUUGAAGCUUCUGCACCUUUGGUGUUCAUGAGUAUAUAUGGCGCCUCAUUUGAUUCUUGUUCCCAGGCUGUAGUUUGGAACAUGGACACUUUCCAGACACAUCAUUUACCAGAAGAGCACGCUUACCUUAUCACCGAUGUCUGUUUCAGACCUAACUCUACACAGAUGGCAACAUCUGCUUUUGACAAAACAAUUAAGCUAUGGAAUGCUACAGAUGUAAGUUAUGCUUAGCUUCCUGGAAGUUCAAAAUUUUGGUUCAAAUUUGUGAAUAAAACCUGAAAGUAGUUUUUUAUAUAUAUAUGAACCGAACCGAACGUCCGAACCACAUUGGUACGUAUAUCUAUUGAAUGCAGCUAGCCUAGUGGCAAGGCCCCACGCGGCACGCCCGCAACCAUACCUUGUUGGUACAUGUCAGUGAUUUUUCUUUUUUUGGAAAAACAGGCUAGGCAAUGUGUAUCGUAACCUAGACCAAGCGAUACAACAAAUAAGCCUCGGUACCAAGCUUCAUGUGUUCGGCGUAGUUCAUGCUUCUCUUUUACGCAAGUAAUCGAUAAUAAAUUGGAAAACUAUUGUCCAGUUUAAAUUUUUACUGCUCAAAUCUACUUCCACUGAGUUUUGCCAAAGUUUGCCCAACAUGCACUCAAUGGUAUGCUGACCAAAUAUUAUUUAUGGGGGCCUAUUUCUUUUAUGCCUCAUUACUGAAAAGGCUCAGCCCGAGCCUGAAGUAGGCUCGGACCUAAUCCGGCUUUGAAUUAACAAAGCCAUCAACCGGCCAAGAUUACACGAAACAUAAUACAAACAACAUGAAGAGAAACAUCAGGAAACGCCCGAAAGAUACAAUGGGACACUCUCCACAACUUACAACACAUCGCAAAGCUAGUAACUAGAGAUAUAGAGAUGGAGCACAACUAGCAGAAGCAAAUGACCGCAACUCUCAGGCGCCAAGGACAAAGAACAGUGGAAGCACCGCUGGGACAACUUGAACUGAAUGGACGGCAAGAACAAGGAUGAGCACUGAAGAGGUUGAACGUAGCACCUCCCUCCACCACCGAAGAGGGCCACAACCCUCACGUCUUGUCUGAAAAGACGCUCACCAUCGGACUUGGGAGAUGCUCACCGAGAGCUAGAGAGAGCCAAACUCAAAAUCCAGGGCACCCACAGAUCUUGACCUUCGUGACGAAGACAACUCACCAUGCCAGACACAUUGACCCGGACCUAGAGCACCUGACAGCAACAGAGAGGCAGACAACAGGGCAGCGGGACAACACCUCAGCACUGCACCCGCAGGAACCAGCCGCCGGCUAAAGCCCCUACCUUCAACAACCCACACACGAAUCCAUAGCUCCCCAGGCAACACCUCCAUGGAUGGGAUGACACGCAUGGCGCCACCACUGCCCAACCAAGCCGGAUUUUGGGUUUUCACCCGGGAGAAGAAACAGAGGUGGCAAGAAAAGGAACCACGACACCGCCUCCAAGAAGAAUACGACACCCGAAGCUGACGUCGCUGCCGGGCCGAACCUAGGGUUUUCCCCGGCCCCGAUCUACACCACCAUCCCCAAAAGCACCAGAUCCAGCAGAAGCCGCUGGCAACAUGCGCAAAGGGAAAGGGGCGGGAAGGAGGGAGCAACAAACCUUCAGAUCUGGCGAGGAAGAAGGCCUCCACGCUGUUGCCGCCAAGCGCCGACGCCCCACCACCCCUUCGGCCGAGGACGCCGACCUGAACCCCUUGCACACACCGCCGCCCCGUGGAUCCAUACCUCCGCGAACGGAGCUACGAAGACCUUGCCGUCACCGUCACCGGUGGCCCUGCGGGCUUGCCCGGCGACCUUCUCGGGUGGCGGUGAGGAGGGGGGGUGGGAGAUGUGUAGGUGGCGGCUCUCAAAACCCUAGCUGCCCCUCGAAUCGCCCACGCACUCCACUUCUCAGUACUAAGAUAUACUUACGGAAAUCUGUUGGUGCUCCGGGAGCGCGCGCUCCUGCACGCAAAAAUAUUUUUUUUAAAUGCCAAAAAAAUUUCCAACAAAAAAUUCUAUGUGUUCUUUGUCACAUCCAAGUGCUACAUACAAAUUUGUAGGCAAAAAGAUUAAACAUUUUGUCCUGUUUAAAAAAAACAAAAAAAACACCAAAUGUUACCCCAAAUGUCAGCCUAAAUUUGUUUUUUUUUUCACCGGAGAAAAGCCGCUGCUCUGUUUCGCAUAAAAUUUUUCAAGAAUGCUUGCGACACUAAUAGGAACAUCAACAAAAAAUUCAGAAAUUUUUGAAAACAUUUACUAUAUAUUUUUUGUUUACUAUUCAUGCGGGAAGUGCGCGCUCCCGGGAGCCAAAACGCCAUUCUCGAUGUACCUACCACUACUAGAGUACUGGAAAAGGCUGUGGAGGUUAUUUCAGUUAUCUAGAUUAUUCAUGACUCGGAUUAUAAUAUGAAACAUGACUAUUGUGAAAAUGAAUUAGAGAGCAUAAUUCAUAUAUGUGUAUUAUCUGUGUGUUUGCACUUUGUAUAUUGCUUGAAACUUCAAUUUCUUGUUUGGCAGACUCGAUUCUCUCAUCAUACAUUCUCUGGGCAUAAAUAUCCAAUUGUGUCACUAGAUUUUCAUCCAAAGAAGACAGACCUUUUGUGUUCUUGUGAUAGGAAUGGUGAAAUCCGGUACUGGGACGUGACUCAGCUUACCUAUCUGGGUGCCAUGAAGGUCGGCACUCUUCUUUCUGAUCCCUUAAAAUCUUCUUAAUAACUUAUACAAUAUGAUUGAAUAAUUUGCUGUUUUGUAAGUCUGACUUUGGACGGGACGGUCCUCUCGUUCGUUUCCAACCUAGCACUGGACAAUUACUCGCAGCUACUACAGGAAAUGUUGUCUCUAUAUUUGACGUUGACACACGUACCAAAAAGUACACCUUGCAGGUCUGUUUUGAACACAGAUGCAUCAAUGUUGCAAUGUUUCAUUUCUUUCAAUGAGAAGUUCAUUUGCAAUGUUUUCUUGUGUUGUUGCCCCUGCACAUUCACACUUCAAAUCUCCUGCCUCUCCCUCCCUCCCUCCCUCCCUCUCUCUUUUAAAUGAGCUCGUGACUGCAACCAUUAAGUUUGUGCCAAGUAAUCUUCAAACUAAAGCGUUUGAUUAUAAUCUCAGGGCCAUAACAUAAGCGUGCAGUGGUUGUGCUGAUUUUUCAACACAAACGCAUCGAUGUUGCACUGUUUCAUUUCUUUCAUGAGAAGUUUAUCUGCAAUGUUUUCUGUUAUUGCCUCUGCAAAUGCACAUUCCAAAUCCCUUGUCGUUGGGAGUCUUUUUUAAUAUGGCUGUGCUUGUAAUCAAUCAUAUUGUACCAAGAAAUCAUGAAACUUAAGCGUUGAUUAUAAUCUCAGGGCCAUAACAAAGACGUGCAGUCAGUGUGCUGGGACAACACUGGGGAGUACCUUGCGUCUGUCAGCCAGGAUCUAGUUAAGGUGUGGUCAGUAUCAUCAGG
rnacentral:lncRNA from 1 species